AGAGUGAACGCUGGCGGUAGGCCUAACACAUGCAAGUCGAACGGCAGCACAGUGGUAGCAAUACCAUGGGUGGCGAGUGGCGGACGGGUGAGGAAUACAUCGGAAUCUACCUUUUCGUGGGGGAUAACGUAGGGAAACUUACGCUAAUACCGCAUACGCCCUUUGGGGGAAAGCCGGGGAUCGCAAGACCUGGCGCGGAUAGAUGAGCCGAUGUCGGAUUAGCUAGUUGGUAGAGGUAAUGGCUCACCAAGGCGACGAUCCGUAGCUGGUCUGAGAGGAUGAUCAGCCAC
rnacentral:rRNA from 1 species